AAGCUCUCUCCAUGGUGUUGGGAGCUUGUGGCAGUGUUUGGUGUGCUUGAGGCUUUGGCAGACUUUGGAAGUGGAAUUUACUGGGAGGAGCUCUGUAGCAUGGUUUAGGUGAGGCGGUUUCCCCGAAUCGAACUUGGGUGACUGAACAGAAGAAUAUGACGAUGAACCUCCCAUAAAGAGAAAAGAGAGAGGGAGGGAAAGCACCAGACAGUCAGCGUCAUGUUCAGAAUAACUCAGCAGGGUGUAUCAAUAGUAUCUUUUCCAACCCCUCUAGUAAUGAAGGCUGUUGGUGUCAGGCACUACCCCACUAUUAGCAAAGCCAUUUUGGCACACCCCACUCCUUUUUGUCAUGGUAGUGCUGCCACCAAUAUGACUCAUGUUCUGGCUACCCACCCACAUUUGUAUGCAGUGUAACAGUCCUGUGACUAAACCAACUUAAUUAUGA